rnacentral:lncRNA from 1 species
AAAGAUUAUCUUCUGAACACAUACAUGCCAACAGUUUGAUGGAGUUUUUUUAACAGCCUGAGACAAACACGGAAGGAAGCAUCAGACAUUCCACUCGGUUUCUUGUGGUCCAACCUGCAACCAUAUCUUUUUUUUCACAUUCAGUUUCAAACCCGGAUAGGCUAUGACUCAUUCAUCAGCUCUUUUUAAAGGCAGAACUUCUCAAAAGCUCAGAGUGUAGAAAAUGCCUUUUAAGCAAACAGGUUGCUCCUUUUUCAGGUGGCUCAUUUUCUGGUUAGUUCUCUCCACAGUAGACGGGAAAGCUUCACGCCUCUUUCCCAGCGAAGAAGACAGAAAUGUCAGCAAAGAGCCUACCAACACAGAUGAUAAACGCAUGGACACUGCUGGGAUUCCUGUUGGAUGCAGCCCAAGAAAACUGAGGAAGAGAUCCAGUUCCUUUGGCGUUUCAUGGCUCAGAGACCUGAACAGCGAAGAACCCAACUGUCAGAUUGUUCCAGUAACAACUGAGACUCCUGUGAUCACCAAACCACCAACCACACCUAAACCCCCCAGGAAGGAAACCCACCGCAUAGCAGCAGCAGCACCAGAAUACAAGCGUUGGCUCUUGUAUUUUCUUCCUUACAGACAAUACUCUUACUACAAUGCUUUAUUGCCUAUUAACAGAGGUGCCAAUGGCUAUCACUUUUUCAGGCACAACAAAUUCCAAAGCGACGAGUCCUCUGAAGAAAAGAGAAAGAAAAGAGAUAUAUUUACAAUGCAGUAA